AACCAAAGCAUCUUUAUGCACCAUUACAGGAAAGUAAUUGAAUGAAAGCGCGUUUCCAUUAAUGUGAAUUUUAGUCUUAUUCUUAUCACCAUUCACCCAACGAAUAUAUAUACAUAUACAGAGAGAAAGAAGAGCAUGCACAUUCACUUCCCCUUCCAAGUCAUUAACAGUUCCAAAGGCUGAUGGCUUACUACGGUCAAAAUCCUCCCAUGUCUGGGCCUCCUCCUCCUCCCAUGGGUUAGUUCCUCCACAAAACCUUCUUAACUGUUAUUUCUUUACUCAUUAAUCCAGUUAAUUAUCUCUGUUAAUCAUGAUUUGUGAUUAUUGACGAUGAAAUUAAUGGAAUCCAUGUAGGGUAUCCUCCACCAGGUUAUCAAGGACCUCCUCCUCCGCAACCUCAAGCUUUUGCCACCCAGGCUCCGCCGGCGCAAGGACAGGCGGCUUCAGGAGCUGCUACCGGUGCAAUGGCGGGAUGGUACGUUCUUUCGUAACUACUUUCAUCGCACACAAAUAUACUCUGGUUUUUGUUAAAAGAUCGUUUUUAUUUUCAACUCGAUUUGUUGGUAAAGGAAAAACAAAGAAGAAAAUAAAUGACAGUUUGAUUUUAGAUAAAUAAAAAUAAUUUUAUUUAGAGCUGUUUAACAAGAGUUAUUUGAAAAUAUUGUUAAUAUUAGUCGGAAAAAAAUAUUUGUAUAUAAGAAUCUUUUAAAAUUGUAAAUUGUUGAGCAAUUUCAACAAAAUUUUCUUACAAAAGUUAUUUCAAAUUAAAAUAUUAUAUUAAUGUAACUUUCACACGUAUGAGUUGUUUAAUAUUAAACGAACCUUUAUAUAAAUGAAGACGAAAAGAUUGUUUACUUUUCAAUGGGAUUAAUUCAUACUAAAACAAUAGUUUUAUUAGCAGUAAGGAUCAUGAUUCAUUAAUAUUUAUGUUUUACAUUCAGCUUAUGAUUAUAUGAAUUAUUAUUUUAUUGUAAUAUAAUAUUUGAUUAAGCAAAUAAAUAUUUUUAAUAAUAAUAAUAGUGUCAACAUAUACUUUAUUUAAAAAUAUUAUGUACCGCUGUGUAGACCUACUUGUUUGCAGAACUCUUUAUAACUUGAAAAUAAAAUUAUAUAUACAAUAGUUCUAUUUAGAAUUAAAUGUUUUUUCUUCAAAUUACUUUUAAAAAUUAUAUUUUAUUUUUGAACUAAGUUAAUAUGUAUUUUGUUUUUUAAACUUUAUAGAAGUCAUGUAUGAUGUUCACUGAGAAAGAUAUUUUACAAUAUUUUGUAGAAAAUAAAGAUAAUAUAAAGAAUAUAUAUAUAUUUAAAAAGUAAAACAUUUUUUAAAAAUAAUUUGAAAAUAAACGUAUAUGUAACUUUUUUAUUUAUAUUCGUUACAUUAACCAAAUUAAUGGAAUGACGUGACUGUUAAAUAUUUUCUCUAUUUUAAUUUAUUUCUACUCUGUUUUUUCUUUUUCUUUAUCAAUCACAUUAGAAAAUAGAUAUAUGUCAUUAUGUUUAAUUUGUUUAUCUUUAUUGGUUGAACAUAAAUAUCUUUAUACUUAUUUGUUUUAAUUUUUUUGUUUUUAGCCUUGGCGCGUUGGGUUGCCUUUGUUGUCUAGAAUUGUGCUGCUGCAUGGAGUGCUUGGAUGCGUGUUGUUGAUCUUCAUCAAUCAAUCUUUCCUUUUUCUCUUUUAACUUAUAUGUGGAACUUUAAAUUUUGGUGUUCUUCUCUCCUUUUAAAAUAGAAUUCAGUAUUUGCAACCUUUAAUUUUCUUCUUCACUUUUAGUUUGACCAACGCACUUUGCAUUAAUUACAUAUGUUUAUGGUAAUUUCCUGCUUUCAAUUUACC
rnacentral:lncRNA from 1 species